CAGUAGCCGCGGUAAUACGUAGGGUGCAAGCGUUAAUCGGAAUUACUGGGCGUAAAGCGUGCGCAGGCGGUUAUAUAAGACAGAUGUGAAAUCCCCGGGCUCAACCUGGGAACUGCAUUUGUGACUGGCAAGCUAGAGUCUGGCAGAGGGGGGUGGAAUUCCGCGUGUAGCAGUGAAAUGCGUAGAUAUGCGGAGGAACACCGAUGGCGAAGGCAGCCCCCUGGGCCAACACUGACGCUCAUGCACGAAAGCGUGGGGAGCAAACAGGAUUAGAUACCCCUGUAGUCCCUGUCUCUUAUAC
rnacentral:rRNA from 1 species